UACGAAGGGGGCUAGCGUUGUUCGGAUUUACUGGGCGUAAAGCGCACGUAGGCGGAUCAUUAAGUCAGGGGUGAAAUCCCGAGGCUCAACCUCGGAACUGCCUUUGAUACUGGUGAUCUUGAGUCCGGGAGAGGUGAGUGGAACUGCGAGUGUAGAGGUGAAAUUCGUAGAUAUUCGCAAGAACACCAGUGGCGAAGGCGGCUCACUGGCCCGGAACUGACGCUGAGGUGCGAAAGCGUGGGGAGCAAACAGG
rnacentral:rRNA from 1 species